UUCGGAGGAUGCAAGCGUUAUCCGGAAUGAUUGGGCGUAAAGCGUCCGCAGGUGGCUAUGUAAGUCUGCUGUUAAAGAGUCUGGCUCAACCAGAUAAAGGCAGUGGAAACUACAUGGCUAGAGUGCGUUCGGGGCAGAGGGAAUUCCUGGUGUAGCGGUGAAAUGCGUAGAGAUCAGGAAGAACACCGGUGGCGAAAGCGUUCUGCUAGACCUGUACUGACACUGAGGGACGAAAGCUAGGGGAGCGAAUGGG
rnacentral:rRNA from 1 species